GGGGAACCCCAAUGCCCGCAGCUAGGGACCACAGGAAUGAGGUGCUCUGGUCCCUACGGGCUUCACGUGAUAGGAGAUAAACGCUCCUCUCAGCGGACUCCCCCAGCGGGAUCCAAAACACUCUCACUCUCCACAGAAGACCCUGGACCUUGCUAAGUGCUGCAGGGAUAUGGAGGAAACCUGCCGGUGGGCUGGGGAGACCGGCAGGCCCCGCCCACUCCUGAGCAUCAACCACACCUGCCAGUGACCAGCGCCACCCAGAAGCCAUCAGUCAACACCAGUGCACAGAAAGAGCGCCACGGAGAUCCUGAGGAUUUCGGGAGUUGUAUGUUACAAAACAAGGACAAAGACCAAAUAGCUCAGCCUGGACCGUCAUGCCAAGCUCCAACUCCCACCCGCCAACCCCACACUCCUGUCUCAGCCAUAUGGAUAAACUGCACGAGGAAGUCAGCCUGAGGCACGAGAGCAGCCGAGGGAAGAGGGAGAAGUCCUGCCGCCUGCUCAGCGGUUUCGAGUGGCCCAGCCCCCGGUGUCACCUGGCAGCCUUAGCGGCACACUUCACCGACACUGUCUCCUCUCCAGCUCACAGCUGCCCCGUCCCACCCACUCUACCCCAAGAAAGGGGGCUUGUCAGGCAGGAGCUUCCCAGCUCUCUGUAUUCCCACCACAGACCAAGGCCCCCCUCAGUCCUGGCUCUCACCU